GACGAACGCUGGCGGCGCGCCUAACACAUGCAAGUCGAACGAGCGAGAGAGAGCUUGCUUUCUCGAGCGAGUGGCGAACGGGUGAGUAACGCGUGAGGAACCUGCCUCAAAGAGGGGGACAACAGUUGGAAACGACUGCUAAUACCGCAUAAGCCCACAGCUCGGCAUCGAGCAGAGGGAAAAGGAGCAAUCCGCUUUGAGAUGGCCUCGCGUCCGAUUAGCUAGUUGGUGAGGUAAUGGCUCACCAAGGCGACGAUCGGUAGCCGGACUGAGAGGUUGAACGGCCACAUUGGGACUGAGACACGGCCCAGACUCCUACGGGAGGCAGCAGUGGGGAAUAUUGCACAAUGGGGGAAACCCUGAUGCAGCGACGCCGCGUGGAGGAAGAAGGUCUUCGGAUUGUAAACUCCUGUUGUUGAGGAAGAUAAUGACGGUACUCAACAAGGAAGUGACGGCUAACUACGUGCCAGCAGCCGCGGUAAAACGUAGGUCACAAGCGUUGUCCGGAAUUACUGGGUGUAAAGGGAGCGCAGGCGGGAAGACAAGUUGGAAGUGAAAUCCAUGGGCUCAACCCAUGAACUGCUUUCAAAACUGUUUUUCUUGAGUAGUGCAGAGGUAGGCGGAAUUCCCGGUGUAGCGGUGGAAUGCGUAGAUAUCGGGAGGAACACCAGUGGCGAAGGCGGCCUACUGGGC
rnacentral:rRNA from 1 species